UUAAAGCUUCCAACUGGGAUUAGAUACCCCACUAUUCUUGGUUGUAAACUGAUUUUUGUCUACCAGAGUACUAUGAAUAUUUUUAAAUUUAAAACUCAAAGAACUUGGCGGUGUUUUAGACCACUCAGGGGAACCUGUCUCGUAAUCGAUGAUCCACGUUAUACCUGACCUCUUUUUGUUUUCAGCUUGUAUACCGUUGUCGUCAGGUAACUUUUUAGAAAUUAGAAGUUAGCUAUAAGGAAAAUAAUAAACUAAAACGUCAAAUCAAGGUGCAGUUUAUAAAGAGGGGAGGAUGGGUUACAAUUAUAUAUUUAUAAUUACGGAGUACUAUAGGAAUGGGUAGUAUUUAGAAGGAGGACUUGAAAGUAAAUUGGAUUAUAUAAAUAAUUUGAAUAAGGCUCUGAAACGUGUACACACCGCCCGUCACCCUCUGCAAGUCAAAA
rnacentral:rRNA from 1 species